AAGUAAAACAACUGCCGAAGCUCCACAAGUCCACAUGAACCACGGCGGCCACCUGCCGCUGAAGAAAGACCAUCCGUCGUCCAUCCCCUACCCCAACCGCACCGCAGGCACGCCGCGCGCGCACAGGCCAGGUGUCCGGGUCGGGCGCCCCUUCAAUCUACCACCCUCGCACGCCCCCACGCCGUACCCACCACAAUGUGACGGGCGACCUUUCCAGAGCGACGCCGCAGUUCGCUGUCCGCGAGGGAAGGGAACCCAGGCACCCAGCCAGCCAGCCAUCUGCCUCACACCAAACCACUCUCAUCAGGCCGCGUUGCCAGCCGCACAAGCCAAGACAGCCGCCUAACCCCCCUGGGAUCGCGGCUCGUGCUGAGCUAAUCGGGGCGCCCCAAUCAUCCCUCGCCAAGAUCUCGACAGGACUAGCCCAUGCUCGUGUCCGUUGGAGUUGAUAAGGGGCGCCAUGGGUUUGAGGAGCAGGCACCAAAAGGCGUUUGGUCUCCGCUGCUAUCCGGCACGCCACCGGUCCGUAACCCUUUUACUGUGGAGCCUAGCAGCACUGGUUGUCGUUGUGAAUGUCCAUCUUCUUAUCAUUCAUAAGGAGGAGGAUGAAAGUAUAAGUACACAUGAGAUCCGUCGAUCGAUUAUGAGGGAACUGGAAGCGGUGGAGGAGGAGAAGUUCAAGUUAACUCCUCCUCGGAGCCGGAGGAAUCCACGGGCUGUGCGGCGCAAGGGCGAGAGGAAGCCUCCUACAAUAGUGGAUGAAUUCUUGGAUGAGUCUUCAGCAGUUCAUGAUAUGUUCUUCCCAGAACUGAACAUGGCUGUAGAUCCAAUCAAUGGUGGGAAUGACAGCAUGUACUUCUACUACCCAGGGAGAGUCUGGCUUGAUACCGGUGGCAAGCCGAUCCAAGCUCAUGGAGGAGGUGUACUUUAUGAUAAGAAGACCAAGACCUAUUUCUGGUAUGGGGAGAAUAAGGAUGGCAAAACCUACAAGGCUCACAGCAAGGGAGCAGACCGGAUUCUGUUGAUGAGGCCAAAUUGCUAGGGGGCAUGUUGGAAGUUAUGAACUUAUGAUCUAUUGGGAAGGUUGACAUCGUUGGAGUAAGUUGCUAUUCUUCGAAGGACCUAUGGACGUGGAAAAAUGAAGGAGUUGUCCUCCGGGGUGAGGAAAAGAAUGUAACACAUGACCUCCACAAAUCCAAUGUCCUAGAGAGGCCCAAGGUGAUAUACAAUGACCGGACUGGCAAAUAUGUGAUGUGGAUGCACAUAGACGAUGCUAACUACACUAAAGCUUCAGUUGGUGUGGCUGUCAGUGAUUCCCCAACUGGCCCGUUCACUUAUCUCUACAGCAAGCGCCCACAUGAUUGCGAAAGUAGAGACAUGACCAUCUUCAAGGAUGAUGAUGGGAAGGCCUACCUGAUAUACUCUUCUGAGGACAACAGUGAGCUCCACAUUGGUCCGCUAACUGAUGACUACCUUGAUGUCACUGAUGAUAUGCGGAGGUUUCUCAUUGCACAGCACCGAGAAGCUCCUGCGCUUUUCAAGCACGAAGGCACCUACUAUAUGGUAACCUCUGGCUGCACAGGCUGGGCACCAAACACUGCUCUGGCUCACGCGGCAACUUCAGUGAUGGGACCUUGGGAGACACUGGGGAACCCCUGCGUGGGAGGGAAUGAGGUCUUCAGAUCAACAACAUUCUUCUCCCAGAGCACAUUCGUGUUGCCAGUUCCAGGGCUACCAGGCUCAUUCAUCUUCAUGGCUGAUCGGUGGAAUCCAUCCGACCUGAGAGAUUCUCGGUACGUCUGGCUACCUCUGACUAUAGGGGGAGUCCCUGAUGAAGCUGCAGACUACAGCUUCAUGUUCCCCCUCUGGUCCAGGGUGUCCAUUUACUGGCACAAACGGUGGCGUCUCCCUGAGGGGUGGAGGGAUUCCUGAAAGUUGAAAAUUUCUUCAAAGAAUUGAAGUUCUUAUACGCUGUUACAUCGAUAGAUACCAAAUUAUUGACAUUUGACACGUUGGGCUGGGCUGCGCUGUAUAGAUCAGAUGUAGAUGCAGAGCUUGUAAAUGUGCAGUUGAGUUUGAACUAAAAUCAGAUAAAAGUUUGUGGCCUUUUGGGCGAGGUGUGGUGUUGAUCCACUCGUCUUAGUUUCAGAAUAAUCUAGCUGCAGCUUCAGUGUUACUGUAUCUUCUAACUUGGUCCCGUUUGAAAUUUGCGCUGAUGGCUAUGAGAGCUGGUUCAACGUC